rnacentral:lncRNA from 1 species
CAGCUGUGGUAGGCUCACAUAGCCAGUGUGAUCGGUUUUUAAGAGGCAGUGCUUUUCAGCUUUUCUCCCUGAUAUAUCCAUUUUGCUUCCCAGCACUUUUUAGGAGUAGUGAGAGCACUUCCUGCCCUUGUUGGAAGCCCCAGGGUGGACACUCAGCACGAAGGUCUCUCCCUUAACUGCUGCCCUUCCAAGACUUGCUCCCGAGAUGGAGUGGGCGUGGUCUUCCAGGCUGGCCCUUCCUUCUCCUCACCGCCACCUUCCCUGCCCCAGCCCCAGCAGCCAUGGGUACAUGGGUCCCCAGCUCACCUAUGGAUUCCCGCCAGUCUGCCCAGCUGCAGUACUCACGCCCCAUGGGGGAUCUUGGUCUGUUUUUCUUGUGGGAGCCUAGUGGAGAGCAGACGUGGCUUUUUAUGUGUCUUGUUGGGGAGGUGACUUGCAUGGUGGGGACAAGGCUGUCGUGGCAACCUUGGGAUCGAGUUUGAGACUAAAGGAUGUCAUGAGAUCCCUGGCUUCUCCCCAUGUUGUUCCCGGACAAGGGCAGAAGGGAGGCAUGGCAAGGGACCUCUGCUGUCCUUACUCAACAGUGGUCCUCAUCCCUCCCCACCUCCCACUGCUUCCUGCAAGGGCACCAGUUGUAUGAGAAAGUUGGCCUUUGGACUUAGGAUUUCUUAUUGUAGCUAAGAGCCAUCUGAAGCAGCAGGUUGCAGGACAAAUGCUUCAGUCCGCCGAGAGCAGUACCGUGUGGCCAAGAGGUGGACUCAGAGCCUUCCUUGAGCUAAACUCGGCCAACCAAGGCACGCAGCAUGUCCCCUCAGGUCUCCAGUCAGUCCAGGUUGACCCUCAGUUCUGGACGUGUGUAUAUAGCUGUAUUUAAUACCUCAAGGUCAUUGUGGCUCUGGGGAUGCCGGGGCAGGAGGACGAGGGUGCGCUGUGGACACAGCAGUCCGCGGAAUUCCGUUCUGGGAAGCCAAUGGUCGCCGGCACCCCUUGCUUCCUCCCUCUGUUGUCUGCCUGUGUGACACACAUCAAUGGCAAUAACUUCUUCCAACUCCUCGCAGAAGUGGGAGAGGCCGGCAGCCUGCACCGAGAGGGGCUUUCCUCUCUCUUGCUCCCCGCUUCGUUCUGUUUUGGCUGCAGAGAGUGGUUCAUCCAUACUCUCAUUCCCUCGCCUCCCCUUGUGGACGGGGGUCUUGCCUUUUCAAUUCCUGUGUUUUGGUGUCUUCCCUUAUCUGCUACCCUGAAUCACCUGUCCUGGUCUUGCUGUGUGAUGGGAACAUGCUUGUAAACUGCGUAACAAAUCUACUUUGUGUAUGUGUCUGUUUAUGGGGGUGGUUUAUUAUUUUUGCUGGUCCCUAGACCACUUUGUAUGACCGUUUGCAGUCUGAGCAGGCCAGGGGCUGACAGCUAAUGUCAGGACCCUCAGCGGUGGAGCCUGCUGGGGGGACCCAGCUGCUCUUGGACAAGUGGCUGAGCUCCUAUCUGGCCUCCUCUUUUUUUUUUUUUCAAGUAAUUUGUGUGUAUUUCUAACUGAUUGUAUUGAAAAAAUUCCUAGUAUUUCAGUAAAAAUGCCUGUUGUGAGAUGAACCUCCUGUAACUUCUAUCUGUUCUUUUUUGAGGCUCAGGGAGAAACUAGCAUUUUUUUUUUUCCAAACUACUUUUUGUCACUGUGACAGUUGUAAAUAAAGUUUGAAAAUGCUUUCC